AUAUAGGCAAUGAAUAGAAAAAGUAAAUAUUUUAUUAUAUAAAGAGAGGGAGUGGAUGGUGUAAACUUCUUAUAAUAUAUAUUGAAGCUAUCUAUGAGUCAUAACAUAUAAUUUAAGAGAUACAGGUUUUUUGUUUUAUAUAUCUGUUUAAUUAGGGUGGUACCGCGGAUUCAGCUUUCGUCCCUUUU
rnacentral:ncRNA from 1 species